AAAGUUUUAAGUUAAAUAAACUAUUAACCUUCAAAGUUAAAAAUACAUUAGAUGUAAGCUUUA
rnacentral:tRNA from 2 species